CUGCAGACUCGAUCACUUCUACUGUGUUUCAGUGUGAAGGGGAACCAGGUCUGCUAUAGCAAUGGGGUGCAGAGACAGUACUAAGCCUCUCAUGCUUAGAACUCUG
rfam:Patagioenas fasciata monilis isolate BTP2013 Sc31e1R_493, whole genome shotgun sequence.